rnacentral:rRNA from 1 species
CCUACGGGGGGCAGCAGUGAGGAAUAUUGGUCAAUGGACGAGAGUCUGAACCAGCCAAGUAGCGUGAGGGAUGACUGCCCUAUGGGUUGUAAACUUCUUUUAUAUGGGAAUAAAACGUUCCACGUGUGGGAUUUUGUAUGUACCAUAUGAAUAAGGAUCGGCUAACUCCGUGCCAGCAGCCGCGGUAAUACGGAGGAUCCGAGCGUUAUCCGGAUUUAUUGGGUUUAAAGGGAGCGUAGGUGGAUUGUUAAGUCAGUUGUGAAAGUUUGCGGCUCAACCGUAAAAUUGCAGUUGAAACUGGCAGUCUUGAGUACAGUAGAGGUGGGCGGAAUUCGUGGUGUAGCGGUGAAAUGCUUAGAUAUCACGAAGAACUCCGAUUGCGAAGGCAGUUCACUGGACUGCAACUGACACUGAGGCUCGAAAGUGUGGGUAUCAAACAGGAUUAGAUACCCUUGUAGUC